rnacentral:rRNA from 1 species
GGGCCGCGGUAUACUGACCGUGCGAAGGUAGCAUAAUCAUUAGUCUUUUAAUUGAAGGCUUGUAUGAAUGGUUGGACAAAAAGCAAACUGUCUCAGUUGUAAUAAUUGAAUUUAACUUUUGAGUGAAAAGGCUUAAAUAAGUUAGGGGGACGAUAAGACCCUAUAAAGCUUGACAAUAAGCCGUUUAUAUUAUAAAUUGUUAGUAUAACUUGAUUUUAAAUGGUGUUUGUUGCGUUGGGGCGACGAGAAUAUAAAAGAUAACUGUUCUUAUAAUAUUUAAUAACAGAAAUAACUGGAAAAUUAAUGAUCCUUUCUUUAAGAUCAUAAGAUUAAGUUACUUUAGGGAUAACAGCGUAAUCUUCCUUGAGAGUUCAUAUCGACAGGAAGGGUUGCGACCUCGAUGUUGAAUUAAGGUAUCCUUAUAAUGCAGCAGUUAUAAAG